GAUAUGCCGAAUCUAACUGUCAUGACUGUGUAUGUAGAUUCUUAACUUUUGGUCCCGUUUUCAAAUUGGUCUACAUUAAGGUCCAAAGGGUCCAAAAUUAAACUUAGUUUGAUUUUGACAAAAAAUGAAUAAGUUAGGUUCUUUGAUAUGCUGAAUCUAAAAAUGUACUUAGAUUCUUAAUUAUUGGCCCAGUUUUCAAGUUGGUCCAAAUCGGGG
rnacentral:lncRNA from 1 species